rnacentral:rRNA from 1 species
AGUCGAGCGGACUUAAAAAGCUUGCUUUUAAAGUUAGCGGCGGACGGGUGAGUAACACGUGGGCAACCUGCCUGUAAGACUGGGAUAACUUCGGGAAACCGGAGCUAAUACCGGAUAAUCCUUUUCUACACAUGUAGAAAAGCUGAAAGACGGUUUACGCUGUCACUUACAAAUGGGCCCGCGGCGCAUUAGCUAGUUGGUGAGGUAACGGCUCACCAAGGCAACGAUGCGUAGCCGACCUGAGAGGGUGAUCGGCCACACUGGGACUGAGACACGGCCCAGACUCNUACGGGAGGCAGCAGUAGGGAAUCUUCCGCAAUGGACGAAAGUCUGACGGAGCAACGCCGCGUGAGUGAUGAAGGUUUUCGGAUCGUAAAACUCUGUUGUUAGGGAAGAACAAGUACAAGAGUAACUGCUUGUACCUUGACGGUACCUAACCAGAAAGCCACGGCUGACUACGUGCCAGCAGCCGCGGUAAUACGUAGGUGGCAAGCGUUGUCCGGAAUUAUUGGGCGUAAAGCGCGCGCAGGCGGUCCUUUAAGUCUGAUGUGAAAGCCCACGGCUCAACCGUGGAGGGUCAUUGGAAACUGGGGGACUUGAGUGCAGAAGAGAAGAGUGGAAUUCCACGUGUAGCGGUGAAAUGCGUAGAGAUGUGGAGGAACACCAGUGGCGAAGGCGACUCUUUGGUCUGUAACUGACGCUGAGGCGC